UACGAAGGGUGCAAGCGUUGUUCGGAUUUACUGGGCGUAAAGCGUCUGUAGGUGGUGAUUUAAGUUAGUGGUGAAAUCCCAGGGCCCAACCCUGGAACUGCCAUUGAUACUGGAUCGCUGGACCACAAUAGAGGUAGAUGGAAUAUACGGUGUAGAGGUGACAUUCGUAGAUAUCGUAUAGAACACCAAUGGCGAAGGCAGUCUACUUGGAUUGUUGGUGACACUUAGAGACGGAAAGCGUGGGUAGCAAACAGAAUUAGAUACUCUGGGUAGUCCACGCCCUAAACGAUGCAUACUUGUUGUUGAAUU
rnacentral:rRNA from 1 species